UUCAUCGUUGUCCUUGAGGGAAAACCUGAGGGCCUAGCAGGGCUCCCGCAAGUUGAAGCGAGCCACUGUGCAGGGUGAACCUGCACCCAGGGCUGCCCAGGAAGCCGCCAGUCAGGAGCAGGUGCAGAGUCUCUGGAAGGAACUCCAGGAUACAGUGUGGCCUCCACAGCAUCAGGCAGCCAGGGAGAUGCAAACAUGUCUGCUAUGGAUGCUGACAAUGAGACCCCCCUCUUCCCUGCCAGGGCCUCUUAGUUUGGUGGCAGCAGUGGGAUCCAAAGGAGACAUCUGAUGGCUUAGGGGAUGAGAAACACAGGCAUUGGUACCCGCAAAACCUUUGAGUUCUCCAUCUUUGUCACUGAUUCUGAGAGCCGUGGAGUCAGCUCCAGAGUUUCAGCCAGCAGCAGAAGCAGAGCUGUGGGCAGUGGUGGAGGUAGAGCUGGCUCCAGCUCCGUUGACACCACCCCCUCUAGCACUGGAGCCAGUGUCCCCUCUACCAGCAGUGUUGGAGCUGGAGCAAGGGCCAACAUGGGCUCCAGCAGGAGUGGGAGCUGCUGAGUUGGAGUCACCUGGACCAUCAUUUCUAGUGGGAAGUCCAUCUCCACCUGUGGCUAAGAAGUGUGAAAAGAAGCCCAACCUACGGCCUUCCCUCCUAAGCUGGUGGUGGAGCAGUUGACUGUGAUGGAUGCGGAGCUCUUCCGGAAGGUGGUGCCCUCUCAGUGCCUGGGCUCCACCUGGGGCAAGAGGAAUAAGCCCAGCAAUGAGCACCUGGCACACACCGUCCGGGCCACCAUCGACCACUUCAGAAGGGUGGCCAGCCUCGUCGUCACCACCUGCCUCGGGGACCCGAGCAUGAUGGCCCAGGACAGGGUGAGGGUGGUGGAGCGCUGGAUCCAGGUGGCCCAGGUGUGCUGUGGGAGGCCCAGUGGAGCCCCUCUCUGGAGCCUUGGGAACUGCCUCCACCUUUAUCAGGUCCCAGGAUUGCAGUGUGUGGUCUAAGCACACUGCAAGUCCCUAGGCCCUUCUUGCCAGGGGAAUGCUGACCUUGACUCCAGGUCCCAGUGCGGGGAUGCUCACUUCCUACCUGGAUCCCUCCUUGGGUUGAGCUAAAAUCCUCCUCCUUGUGAGUGUUACUCUUUGGGUCCUAAAUGUGCCCUUCUGGGGCUCCCUGAGCAUCUGUCUCAUCCAGGAGAGGAGAUUUAAAUAGAAGGGGACUGAAGCUAGAGCAAGCAGGGCUCCAGCGCCCCACCUCACAGCUCAUUCUCUUCCCUUCCCCAGGAGUGCAAGAUCCUGAAGAACUUCUCCUCGCCCUGCACUGUCAUCUCUGUUCUGCAGAAAACAUCCAUAUGCCACCUGAAGAACACAUGGGGGAAGUUUCCUGGUGGGUAGGCCUCUCUCCAUAGGAGGACCAGGGUGGAUGGGGGAUCUCCCGUACGUCUGCCAUUGGCCCCUCAGUCAGCUGGGAACUCCUGGGUGGCAGCAAAUGCUUGGAACAGGGCCUGGGCCUCAGCGGUGGGUCUCUAAGUCUCCUGGUGUCUUUAGUGCACCAAUUCUGCUUCA